UACGUAGGCAGCAAACGUUGUUCGGAGUUACUGGGCGUAAAGGGCGCGUAGGCGGCCUUCUAAGUCGAACGUGAAAUCCCUGGGCUCAACCCAGGAACUGCGUCCGAUACUGGAAGGCUUGAAUCCGGGAGAGGGAUGUGGAAUUCCAGGUGUAGCGGUGAAAUGCGUAGAUAUCUGGAGGAACACCGGUGGCGAAGGCGACAUCCUGGACCGGUAUUGACGCUGAGGCGCGAAAGCCAGGGGAGCAAACGGG
rnacentral:rRNA from 1 species